UACAAACUGGAUUCGUUCAUAACGGAUGCAGACGGUUGUAUUAUCAGUAACGGAAGCAUUUUUGUUGAGCCCUGCCGGAUCCAGCACAAACGCUAGUGUGAAAGUAGCCUAAUUCCUCUAGCUAGGUCCUCUAGAUUAAAUUGUUAGUCAAAGGGGUUAUGUGAUCAUCUUUCCCUCUCCUCCUUAGAGGGAUCUAUGUGUUAAGGCGGGGGUUUUCUGUUCAGAGCACUCGUGUAUGGGUGAGAGUGGAGCCCCUCUCACAUUGGAGGACACAACACAUCUGUGUUUGCAUUGUAGUGGGAAUUGUGUAAUGCAUCAUUUUUCCCUGCAGGGGCACUGAAUGCUUGAUGCUGAGCGUUCCCACACAUCACAGCUGAUUCUUAGAUGGUCCUAGAUGUGGGGCAUCCUUUGGUCAGCUUAUUGCCAGGUAGCCAAGAAUGAGAUUGUCCAGUUAGUGUCGGAAGUAGAACUAAUUGACGCUCCAUUCUCAUUGGUGACCACCCACUGAAGAUUUUGGAUAGCCAAAAAGUCUGAUUUAGAUCUUCUGCCAACAAUCGACACCUUUAAACAUGAGGAACUAUCUGACAUUUGGCAUCUGUCAAGCUAUCUGUUCAUCUGCUUCUUUGAGAUUUUUGGCCGUUGUCAGGUGCUGCAGUUAAAUAGGGUUUCUAGUUAUCUAAAGUUAGCCCCUAGCCACAGGAUAGGGGUUAAAUAUUAGAGCGGUGGGGGUCCUACUGCUGGGACUCCCCACCGAUCAUGAGAAUGAGGGCCUCAUUGGCCAUACACACGGCAUCUCCUUUUUUAUGGGAAUUCUGGAUAUAGCCAAGAGCUGUACUCUGGAACUGCCAUAGAUGUGAAUGAAGUGGCUGCGUGCACGACUGACCGGCUUCUCUGUUCAUUUCAGGGACUUCAUGACAUACCAGUCUCCCUCCCCCCACACACUCUUGUGAUCGGUAGGUCCCUGACUGAUCUAAUAGUUAACCCCCUAACCAUAGAAUAGGAGAUAACUUUAGUAUCCCUUUAAGGCCGAAUGCCAGAUCAAUGAAAGUCCACACCAGGCCAAAGAUUACAGCUGAGAUUGGUUGAAUAGAGGUUUUAACUUAUGGCCUUGUAGGCUUAGGGCUCAUGCACAUGAGUGUGUGCGCCCCCAUCUGCGGUUACCUUCUGAGAGAGCUGGAUGUGGGGCGAGUGCAGAAUAAUAAAGAAUACAUUAACACUUGUUCAUAUCUGGCUGCACUGUUUUGUAAUCUAAACUAAUGCCACACAAAUAUCUGAACAGUGCCUUACAUUUUUCUCAUCCCUCUGAGAGCUAUCCUUGGUUUCUGGCCAAAAAUACAGGGCCUUCAAGACCAGGCCUGCAGCCAUGUAUAUAUACCCUGAGGCUAAACAUUGGGGCUCCAUUUCAGUUGAGAUGAAUGCUAGCUCCCAGGUACACAACAUUCAGGAAGAGACGACCAAACACUGUUUUAUAGCCGUAGAAUAAAUGCCCUCCCCUAUAUAGGAACACAGCCCUCUAGUGCCUUAUUGAAGUGCCAUACGUAGUCUUAUUUAUGAACAGGUCUUUAGUGCCAGCCUUUGCCACCUUUUUAUUCUCUAGAAUGUCUUUGUCUUAACUGUAGAUUUUGUUAGUUUCUAUAAAUUCUGCAACCGACCUGUAACAAAGAUUAUCUGUGCCAUAAGUAAACUUGAUCAAACGCC